rnacentral:rRNA from 1 species
AUGAGCGACGAGGUGAUAUGGCACUGCCUCCGCCACAACCACUGCAGCUUCAUGGCCAAGAUCGAGACGGGGCUAUUCUGCAGGAACCCCUACAACGCCACGGGCAUAUGCAACCGGAGCUCCUGCCCGCUCGCCAACAGCCGCUACGCCACCAUCCGGGACCACGACGGUAUUUUCUACUUAUACAUGAAAACUGCGGAAAGAGCCCAUCUGCCAAACAAAUUAUGGGAGAGAGUCAAACUACCCAGGAAUUAUGAGCAAGCAAUGGAAGUCAUCAAAAAACAUCUCGAACAUUGGCCGGAGCUACUUGUGCACAAGAUCAAACAACGCCUGACAAAAAUGACUCAGUAUCGCAUAAGGAUGAGGAGACUUCAACUUAAAGUGAGAGAGAAGAUAAUGACCGUCCCCAGGAGGAAGACUCAGCGCGAUCUCCAAAGAUUAGAGAAAGCUGAAAAGGCUGCUCAACUAGAGAAGAGUAUUGAAAGAGAACUAAUAGAGCGUCUGAGGAAAGGUGUUUAUGGUGGUGAAAUUCAUAAUGUCCCCCUCAAGCAGUUUGAUACUAUCCUUGACAUGGAAAAGGAUGAACUGGCUCCUGAGAUAGAAGAGGAAGAAGAAGGUGAGAUAGAGUAUGUUGAAGGUGCUGAUAUCGAGAUGGAUGAAAUGGAAGACAUGGAAGACUUUGAAGGCUUCGGUGGAGAAGAUGAUGAUGGAGAUGAAGAUGAUGGCCUGGAUGAGCCAUUAACAAAGAUGCCCAAGAGAUCGGGCUUCGAUAUAAGGUCAAAGAUUGGUCGCAAGUCUACGAAAGUAAUCACCGAGGUGGAACAAGACGAAAACAGGAAUAUCAGGCUAAGGAUGCAGAUGUGA